rnacentral:rRNA from 1 species
GAUGAACGCUGGCGGCGUGCUUAACACAUGCAAGUCGAACGAAGCAAUUUAACGGAAGUUUUCGGAUGGAAGUUAAAUUGACUGAGUGGCGGACGGGUGAGUAACGCGUGGGUAACCUGCCUCAUACAGGGGGAUAACAGUUAGAAAUGACUGCUAAUACCGCAUAAGCGCACAGGAUCGCAUGGUCUGGUGUGAAGAACUCCGGUGGUAUGAGAUGGACCCGCGUCUGAUUAGCUAGUUGGUGGGGUAACGGCCUACCAAGGCGACGAUCAGUAGCCGACCUGAGAGGGUGACCGGCCACAUUGGGACUGAGACACGGCCCAAACUCCUACGGGAGGCAGCAGUGGGGAAUAUUGCACAAUGGGCGAAAGCCUGAUGCAGCGACGCCGCGUGAGCGAAGAAGUAUUUCGGUAUGUAAAGCUCUAUCAGCAGGGAAGAAAAAUGACGGUACCUGACUAAGAAGCACCGGCUAAAUACGUGCCAGCCGCCGCGGUAACAC